rnacentral:rRNA from 1 species
CUAAGACAUGCAAGUCGAGCGAUGAAGCUCCUUCGGGAGUGGAUUACCGGCGGACGGGUGAGUAACACGUGGGUAACCUGCCUCAUAGAGGGGAAUAGCCUCCCGAAAGGGAGAUUAAUACCGCAUAAAGUAUGAAAGUCGCAUGACUUUUAUACCAAAGGAGCAAUCCGCUAUGAAAUGGACCCGCGGCGCAUUAGCUAGUUGGUGAGGUAAAGGCUCACCAAGGCGACGAUGCGUAGCCGACCUGAGAGGGUGAUCGGCCACAUUGGAACUGAGACACGGUCCAGACUCCUACGGGAGGCAGCAGUGGGGAAUAUUGCGCAAUGGGGGAAACCCUGACGCAGCAACUCCGCGUGAAUGAAGAAGGCCUUAGGGUUGUAAAGUUCUGUCUUAUGGGAAGAUAAUGACGGUACCAUAUGACGAAGCCACGGCUAACUACGUGCCAUCAGCCGCGGCAAUACGUACGUGGCAAUCGUUGUCCGGAUUUACUGGGCGUUAAGGAUGCGUAGGCGGACAUUUAAGUCUUAUGUGAAAUACCCG